rnacentral:rRNA from 1 species
UACAGAGGGUGCAAGCGUUAAUCGGAAUUACUGGGCGUAAAGCGCGCGUAGGUGGUUUGUUAAGUUGGGUGUGAAAGCCCCGGGCUCAACCUGGGAACUGCAUCCAAAACUGGACAACUAGAGUACAGUAGAGGGUGGUGGAAUUUCCUGUGUAGCGGUGAAAUGCGUAGAUAUAGGAAGGAACACCAGUGGCGAAGGCGACCACCUGGGCUGAUACUGACGCUGAGGUGCGAAAGCGUGGGGAGCAAACAGG